UACGUAGGUGGCAAGCGUUGUCCGGAAUUAUUGGGCGUAAAGCGCGCGCAGGCGGCCUUUUAAGUCUGAUGUGAAAGCCCCCGGCUUAACCGGGGAGGGUCAUUGGAAACUGGGAGGCUUGAGUGCAGAAGAGGGAAGUGGAAUUCCAUGUGUAGCGGUGAAAUGCGUAGAGAUAUGGAGGAACACCAGUGGCGAAGGCGGCUUCCUGGUCUGUAACUGACACUGAGGCGCGAAAGCGUGGGGAGCAAACAGGAUUAGAUACCCGGGUAGUCCCUGA
rnacentral:rRNA from 1 species